rnacentral:rRNA from 1 species
UAUUAGUCAAUGCUCGCAAGAGUGAACUAGCUAACUGAAAUCAAAAGUGUGUCACUUUUGAUAAGGUAAGGGAGAAGAAAUGAUGUUACCUUACUAUUAGUGUCGUCCAAGUACUCGUGCCAGAAGACUCGGUAAGGCGAGAGACGCAAACGUUAGUCGUCUUGAACAGGCGUAAAGGGUUUGUAGGCUGCUUUAAGAAUAUGCUUAUUCUAAAUAACACUAUUGUUUUACAAUAUAAAGGAAUAAACAUAUCAAUUAAAGCUAGAAUCAAAUAGAGGUCAAAUUAAAUAAUACUUGGUGUAAGAUUGGUAUCUUAAAAAACCAAGCGGAAUACUAACGGCGAAGGCUUUUUUCCAUUAAUGAUUGACGCUGAGAAACUAAGGUGAGGACAGAAAAAAGGAUUAGAGACCCUCGUAUUCCUCACUGUCAACGAUGAAUGGUAGUUACUAGAUCACAAUAUUUAAAUAUUUACAAAAUCUAGAGACGAUGUUAACACGAAAACCAUUCCGCCUUGUGAGUACGACUGCAAAGUUGAAAACAAAAAAAUUAGUCGGUUUCGGAGCAAACGAAGUGAAGCAUGUUAUUUA